rnacentral:rRNA from 1 species
ACGGAAGGCAGCAGUGGGGGAUAUUGCACAAUGGGGGAAACCCUGAUGCAGCGACGCCGCGUGAGUGAAGAAGUUAUUCGUAAUGUAAAGCUCUAUCAGCAGGGAAGAAAAUGACGGUACCUGACUAAGAAGCCCCGGCUAACUACGUGCCAGCAGCCGCGGUAAUACGUAGGGGGCAAGCGUUAUCCGGAUUUACUGGGUGUAAAGGGAGCGUAGACGGUCUAGCAAGUCUGAUGUGAAAGGCAGGGGCUUAACUCCUGGACUGCAUUGGAAACUGUUAGUCUUGAGUGUCGGAGAGGUAAGCGGAAUUCCUAGUGUAGCGGUGAAAUGCGUAGAUAUUAGGAGGAACACCAGUGGCGAAGGCGGCUUACUGGACGAUUACUGACGCUGAGGCUCGAAAGCGCGGGGAGCAAACAGGAUUAGAUACCCUGGUA